rnacentral:rRNA from 1 species
UGGACGUUACUCGCAGUAAUAAGCACCGGCUAACUCUGUGCCAGCAGCCGCGGUAAUACAGAGGGUGCGAGCGUUAAUCGGAUAUUACUGGGCGUAAAGCGUACGUAGGCGGCUUUUUAAGUCGGAUGUGAAAUCACCUGAGCUUAACUUAGGAAUUGCAUUCGAUACUGGGAAGCUAGAGUAUGGGAGAGGAUGGUAGAAUUACCAGGUGUAGCGGUGAAAUGCGUAGAGAUCUGGAGGAAUACCGAUGGCGAAGGCAGCCAUCUGGCCUAAUACUGACGCUGAGGUACGAAAGCAUGGGGAGCAAACAGGAUUAGAUACCCUGGUAGUCCAUGCCGUAAACGAUGUCUACUAGCCGUUGGGGCCUUUGAGGCUUUAGUGGCGCAGCUAACGCGAUAAGUAGACCGCCUGGGGAGUACGGUCGCAAGACUAAAACUCAAAUGAAUUGACGGGGGCCCGCACAAGCGGUGGAGCAUGUGGUUUAAUUCGAUGCAACGCGAAGAACCUUACCUGGUCUNGACAUAGUAGAAACUUUNCAGAGAUGGAUGGGUGCCUNCNGNAAUCUACAUACAGGUGCUGCAUGGCUGUCGUCAGCUCGUGUCGUGAGAUGU